rnacentral:rRNA from 1 species
ACCGCGAUCCCAGGGCAGGCGGGGAUUACCCGCUGAGUUUAAGCAAAUCAAU